CACGUAGGGUGCGAGCGUUGUCCGGAAUUAUUGGGCGUAAAGAGCUCGUAGGCGGUGUGUCGCGUCGGCCGUGAAAACCUGCAGCUUAACUGUGGGCUUGCGGUCGGAUACGGGCAUCACUGGAGUUCGGCAGGGGAGACUGGAAUUCCUGGUGUAGCGGUGAAAUGCGCAGAUAUCAGGAAGAACACCCUGGCGAAGGCGGCUCU
rnacentral:rRNA from 1 species